AGCCGAUUCAUCUGCUGCGGUGAAGCUGUUAUCCAGGCUGGCAGGGCGUAUUCAAAGAGGGAUCGGAUGUAGCUGAUGUAGACUUUCAGCACUGUCUGAGUUCCGAAGGAUGUCCUCUGACAGUCUUAGAAUGUUAUCGGUGGUUGAUCUUGCUUUCCUGAAGCCAGCGCGGUGGAUUCCAUGGAGGCCCAUUUCCUCGGUGUGGCCGCUCAGUCUUUGGGUUUGUGGAUCAUUGUGACAACUGCAAAUUUCCAAUGAAUGGGGAAGAGGUGUACUUAUCCUGGGUACACACACACCCGGGCCGACGUGUGUCCCAUUUCGCUGACGACACUCAGCAAAGAGAAAGAAUUCGGCAGUGGGAGGGUCAUCACAAUUGACAAACAAUUAAAACACUGUUGGAGUUUGUGUUGCAGAGAUGAACUUGGAAAGCAAAGGAAGAAAUACA
ensembl:lncRNA